rnacentral:misc_RNA from 1 species
AUAUUUGUCUCUGCCAUCAAAACGGUCCCCAUGACCAUAUCGUCCUCCAUCAUAGCGGUCAUCCAUGAAUCGAUCGCGAUCACCUCCAAAGCGGUCACCACGGUCACCAGCUCCUGCAAACCUAGAACGUGAAGGGAAUGAACCUCCACCUCCACCUCGGCCACCAACUGAAGGGCAGUCUCGAGCCCAAUGUCCUGGGCGUCCACACUUGAAGCAAUCAUCUUGCCCAUGAGGUCUGUCUCCCCCAUAGCCUCCUCUGCCACCCUCAUCUCCUCCCAUUUUAGGUUGAGCCUUGUUCACUGAGAUGACACGAUCACCAAGCUCCCGCCCAUGCAUCUCCCUAAUAGCAUCAUCCAUGGCCCGACGAUCUGAGAAUGUGAUAAA